CGGGUAAGAGCUGCUCCAUCUUCAUCAAGGCAUUCUAAGCAGAUUCUUCAGUGAGCUUUACCACUGUUUCAAGCAAAACCCACAAAAAUAUGUGCAAUAAACAAAAUGUGCCAAGUGUAGAAAUAAGAAACAAAUGACAAAGGCUCAGUGUUUUGAAAUUAAGGCUUUGUUUCAUAACUAUUUCUUAAGAAUGCAUAUUGGCCUGGGAUGUUCUAGAAAUCCUUCUCUUAGUGGCUACAGCGGUGAGACAACUGUGUUCCCAUCGCCAUUUCUCCAGAAGUGCUCUGAAAAAACUGCUUCCCCAAUUUUUCCUUGGUGUUAAACUGAGGCCCUUUAGCCAAAAGCUUCUAUUGAUGAUAUCUGAAACCAACUAUGUUUUCCCACUACAAAAAUUAAACCUUGAAGAGACACCAUACAGUUCUUGCUAUUUGCUCUCAGUUCGCCGGUGAAAUUAUUCCAUGUCCUCUCAUAUUACCUCACCAGGUAAUCAAAGGAGGAUGAUCAUCAUUGAGCAAUAGCAAAUAUCAGCAUCCCCAAGGUUUCUGGUCUAUGUAAAUGACUAAACUGCUGAGCAAAAGGCACCUAUGUUUUUAACAACCGAGCACUAUGUAAUGCAAGCUAAAGAAAUAAGCCCAGAAAAAGUUUUCUUAGAAUCUGUUUAAAAAAAAGCCUCCAAAGGAAUGAGCCACAAUCACAUACACUCAUCCAAAAGCAGAUCUUUAAUUUAUUAUUCAAACGUGCAUUACGCCAUGAAUUCAUAGGGAAUUGGCUCCAGCAGCUCCGGAUCCUUCCCGUUAGUCCUCACAAAGUGUGCUUCUCUUGGUGGAGCAGGCUGACGUUUCAGUUGAACCCAAAUGCCUUUUUCUUUUGCUUCCUUUUUCUUCUUUUCAUUCUCCUUCACACGCUGCAAAAAGCUGUCUCUGCUCUUGGAAUGUUUAAUAUGCUCAAUACGCACAUUAAUUCUCUUGGCAAGAAUCUUACCCUUAACCUUCUUGUUAACAAUAACACCCACAGCGUGUUGAGUAACAUUAUACACCCUUCCAGUCUUGCCAUGGUAACACUUGUGAGGCAUACCUUGUUGAACUGUACCCAUACCCUUGAUAUCAACUAUAUCGCCUUUCUUGUAGAUGCGCAUAUAGGUAGCCAGAGGGACAACUCCAUGUUUGCGAAAGGGCCUCGAGAACAUAUAACGAGUUCCCCUCCUCUUUCCCUUUGUGUUCGUCAUUUUGGCUGAUUACUGAAAGCGGCCACCACGCUUCAGCGUGGCUCGCCCAGCACUCACAAGAUGGCGGCGCGGGCCGAAAGGAGAGAGGCGGCGCCGCGGCCGCCCUUAACAGCGGGGCCUCGGCGGGGCUGCCCGCCCUGCGCCUGACAGAAAGCGUGCGGCGGGCUGCCCGCUGCCUGCCUGCGCAGGGCGGCGAGUGGUUGUUACUUAAAGAUAAUAGAUAAAAGAUAAUAGAUAAAAAUGUAUUUGAUCCCCUUACUAACUUCACAGUUAUUCUGAUGUGUAUCCUGCAAAACGCAGGCCUAAAAGCCCUUUCUGUCAACGUUUACAGCGAGUUUAAUAUUCAUGGGCCGCAAUGGUUGUGGAGGAUGAGGUGCGCGGUCAGGUUCUGCCUGCAGAACUAGCUGGCGGAGCAUGUUCUGACACAGAAGGGCCCUGUCUGUGCACAAAAUCCAUUAAACUGUUGUAGUUGGAAACACGCAGACUGUAUUCCAGCUCCGCGCUAUGAAAAAAGCCCAACCUGAUAUCUCUGAUACCUGUGCAAGGGAAAUCUGUAUCAUUCAAUAAGCAUUCAGGUGCCAGGAAAUGCCCCCAGGCUUGGAGGAAGGCUGAGCAGCCCUUGGGUGAAGAAACAUAUUGGCAACAGAGAUGUCAGGAAGGACAUCAAGCAGAGCGAAGACAGGAGGCUAAAUCCAAUCCUAAGGUGUUAUUGAAUAAAGAAAGAUCGUUAUCUUCAGUGAGCUGAACUCCUUCCUCCUGCCAGUGAUUUUCAUAAAGGGUGCAUUUCCACAUUGAGCAGGAAAGAAUGGGAAAGAAACUCCACAUGUUGAAACAGAUUUCAGCGUACAGAUCUUGUAAGUGUAAUUCAUAAAGGAGCAGCAACUAUGAACUGAAUUGAACUCUGCUUUACUUGGGAUCCAGUCAGACAUUCAGGAUUUGCUACAUUUUUUUUCCCCCUGAAUAAAUGGCACGGUGGCUUUAUUUGAAAUUUCAAUAUUGUUCUCAUUUCUAACAUUUAUUUUGAUGCUCAACAUUUCAAAGAGUCAGUUAUAUUUCAGAAUUUGUUACCAUAGAAUCAUUUACUGGCCAUGCUGUCAGGGUCUGACCCAG
rnacentral:lncRNA from 1 species